rnacentral:rRNA from 1 species
ACGUCUACAUUAGAUACCCGGGUAGUCCCAGCCGUAAACUAUGCGCGUUAGGUGUAUCGGUGACCACGAGUUACCGAGGUGCCGAAGGGAAACCGUGAAACGUGCCGCCUGGGAAGUACGGUCGCAAGGCUGAAACUUAAAGGAAUUGGCGGGGAGCACCACAACGGGUGGAGCCUGCGGUUUAAUUGGACUCAACGCCGGGAAGCUCACCGGAUAAGACAGCGGAAUGAUUGCCGGGCUGAAGACUCUGCAUGACUAGCUG